UACGUAGGGCGCAAGCGUUGUCCGGAAUUAUUGGGCGUAAAGAGCUCGUAGGCGGUCUGUUGCGUCCGCUGUGAAAACUCGGGGCUUAACCCCCGAGCCUGCAGUGGAUACGGGCAGACUAGAGGUAGGUAGGGGAGAAUGGAAUUCCCGGUGUAGCGGUGAAAUGCGCAGAUAUCGGAGGAACACCGAUGGCGAAGGCGUCAGUGGUCCUU
rnacentral:rRNA from 1 species